rnacentral:tRNA from 3 species
UUGUCCCAUAGCUCAAUGGUAGAGCUCCCGGCUGUUAACCGGAAGGUUGCUGGUUCGAGCCCAGCUGGGACAGUC